AGUGAACGCUGGCGGUAGGCCUAACACAUGCAAGUCGAACGGCAGCACAGUAAGAGCUUGCUCUUACGGGUGGCGAGUGGCGGACGGGUGAGGAAUACAUCGGAAUCUACUUUUUCGUGGGGGAUAACGGAGGGAAACUUACGCUAAUACCGCAUACGACCUACGGGUGAAAGCAGGGGAUCUUCGGACCUUGCGCGAUUGAAUGAGCCGAUGUCGGAUUAGCUAGUUGGCGGGGUAAAGGCCCACCAAGGCGACGAUCCGUAGCUGGUCUGAGAGGACGAUCAGCCACACUGGAACUGAGACACGGUCCAGACUCCUACGGGAGGCAGCAGUGGGGAAUAUUGGACAAUGGGCGCAAGCCUGAUCCAGCCAUACCGCGUGGGUGAAGAAGGCCUUCGGGUUGUAAAGCCCUUUUGUUGGGGAAGAAAAGCAGCAGGUUAAUACCCCGCUGUUCUGACGGUACCCAAAGAAUAAGCACCGGCUAACUUCGUG
rnacentral:rRNA from 1 species